UACGGAGGGAGCUAGCGUUGUUCGGAAUUACUGGGCGUAAAGCGCACGUAGGCGGCUUUGUAAGUUAGAGGUGAAAGCCCGGGGGCUCAACCCCGGAAUUGCCUUUAAGACUGCAUCGCUUGAAUCCAGGAGAGGUGAGUGGAAUUCCGAGUGUAGAGGUGAAAUUCGUAGAUAUUCGGAAGAACACCAGUGGCGAAGGCGACUCACUGGACGACUGUUGACGCUGAGGUGCGAAAGCGUGGGGAGCAAACAGG
rnacentral:rRNA from 1 species